AACGAACGCUGGCGGCAUGCCUAACGCAUGCAAGUCGAACGAGACCUUCGGGUCUAGUGGCGCACGGGUGCGUAACGCGUGGGAACCUGCCCUUAGGUUCGGAAUAACUCCCCGAAAGGGGUGCUAAUACCGGAUAAUGUCUUCGGACCAAAGAUUUAUCGCCUUUGGAUGGGCCCGCGUUGGAUUAGCUAGUUGGUAGGGUAAAAGCCUACCAAGGCGACGAUCCAUAGCUGGUCUGAGAGGAUGAUCAGCCACACUGGGACUGAGACACGGCCCAGACUCCUACGGGAGGCAGCAGUGGGGAAUAUUGGACAAUGGGCGAAAGCCUGAUCCAGCAAUGCCGCGUGAGUGAUGAAGGCCUUAGGGUUGUAAAGCUCUUUUACCCGGGAUGAUAAUGACAGUUCCGGGAGAAUAAGCGCCGGCUAACUCCGUG
rnacentral:rRNA from 1 species